GCAGCAGUGAGGAAUUUUUCACAAUGGACGAAAGUCUGAUGGAGCAAUACCACGUGAACGAUGAAGAUCUUCUGAUUGUAAAGUUCUUUUAUUUAGGAAAAAAAGCUUGAUAGGAAAUGAUUAAGCCUUGAUCGUACUAAAUGAAUAAGUGACAGCUAACUAUGUGCCAGCAGCUGCGGUAAAACAUAGGUCACGAGCAUUAUCCGGAUUUAUUGGGCGUAAAGGAAGCGUAGGCGGACAAGUUGAUCUAUUGUGAAAAGCACUUGCUCAACAAGUUGUUUGUGAUAGAUAUCGCUUGUCUAGAAUUAGUUAGGAGAUACUGGAAUUCAAUGUGUAGCGGUGGAAUGCGUAGAUAUAUUGAGGAACACCAGAGGCUAAGGCGAGUAUCUAGAACAUAAUUGACGCUGAGGCUUGAAAGCGUGGGGAGCAAAUGGGAUUAGAUACCCCAGUAGUCCACGCCGUAAACGAUGGGUAUUAGGUAUUUGAUAUAAGAUUGAGUGCUGUAGCUAACGCGUUAAAUACCCCGCCUGGGUAGUAUAUAUGCAAAUAUGAAACUCAAAGAAAUUGACGGGGACCUGAACAAGUGGUGGAGCAUGUUGCUUAAUUCGAUAAUACACGAAAAACCUUACCGAGGCUUGUAAUCUUUUGCAAAGCUAUAGAAAUA
rnacentral:rRNA from 1 species